rnacentral:rRNA from 1 species
AGUGAACGCUUUCUUUCUUCCUAACACAUGCAAGUCGAACGGCAGCACAGUAAGAGCUUGCUCUUACGGGUGGCGAGUGGCGGACGGGUGAGGAAUACAUCGGAAUCUACUUUUUCGUGGGGGAUAACGUAGGGAAACUUACGCUAAUACCGCAUACGACCUACGGGUGAAAGCAGGGGAUCUUCGGACCUUGCGCGAUUGAAUGAGCCGAUGUCGGAUUAGCUAGUUGGCGGGGUAAAGGCCCACCAAGGCGACGAUCCGCAGCUGGUCUGAGAGGAUGAUCAGCCACACUGGAACUGAGACACGGUCCAGACUCCUACGGGAGGCAGCAGUGGGGAAUAUUGGACAAUGGGCGCAAGCCUGAUCCAGCCAUACCGCGUGGGUGAAGAAGGCCUUCGGGUUGUAAAGCCCUUUUGUUGGGAAAGAAAAGCAGCAGGUUAAUACCCCGCUGUCCUGACGGUACCCAAAGAAUAAGCACCGGCUAACUUCGUG